CCUCGCCAGACGGCCCGACGCCCGAUUAUCGGGCUGGUGUGUCUUCUCUCUUAGUGUUCAAUGAGCAAUUCACCCUGAUAAAGUUUUAUCACAGACAACAAAAUGCACAUUGGUGUUCAUGUUGAUUUGUGUGGGGAAAUGACUAAUUUAACCUUAUAAGGAGGUGAUUUUUAUGUUCAAGUAAACAAAAAAUGAAUGUUACACAUCUGCCAAAUCAGUAUCUCAGAAUAUUGUCAUUGUUUAAAACAGCAAGAAGAACCAAUUCAUCGUGAUGAGAACUUUAAUCAGCAACAAGAACAUGUACAAUGUGUGUUCAUGUUGAUUUGUGUGCGUGCAGCUGAAAUUAGCCUUGUGAUCUGCAGGAAGCAGCACCACAUUGAGCGUCUUUGUACUGGGGAUGAAAGGGAGCGCAGUCAUCUGACAGCCAUAAGAGACUGGCCUUGUUUUUUAUUUCUUCUAUUUUCUGUAACAGUUUAUAGCUGCAACCAUGAUGGUGUCAAAUUCCCUCCAAUGCUGCGGGGCUCCACUCUGCUGUUGACAAUUUCUACACAGUAUUGUGCCGCUGUCAAUAUUCUCAUUCACCUGCUGAAAUCCAGGUUAUGCGACCCAGGGAGUCGCACAAUAUGAGGACUGUUCUGAGCUUCAGAGGCCGUUAAAGUACCCUAAUCCAUUUGAGGGGGAAUAAACCGUAAAAGUGGGGUGGUAAUUAAAAGCCAACUUUGUUACACGCUUUCCUGUUUUAACUCAAUGCACACACAGUUUGGGUUAUUGAACGAGUGUUACAGCAAAAGAGAAAGCAGUGAUUGUGAGUUAGGUCUACAGUCACUCUAGCAGCCCUGUAAGGCUGUGCUUAUCGUUAAGAGCAACCAAAUCGGAAAAACAUCAGCCUCAGAGUGAUAUUUCCAAAUCAGAGAUAGUGAGGAUUUUUGACAAUGCGAUGAUAUCUCUCAAAAGAACUACAGAAGAUUCAACAAACCAUUGGCAACAUGCCUGCAAAGCUGCAGUUACAUCACAAUAAAAAAACAAUAAUAACACUUAUUACUAAUAACGAUUUUAGCGUAAGGCUGCAACAGAACAAAAAGUUUAGAAAGUAAAGGAGUGUGAAUACUUUCACUGUAUGACCAAAUACCUGCAAAACUGACAUUAAAAAAACCCCAAUAAGUGUGCGUUCAAUAAUAUAUGAAAAAUGUCUCUUAAACAGACAUGAGGGUCAGGAUGUACAGGGAAUGCAAUCCCUCCAAAAAAGGCACUGAGGCUGUUUUAUAAUGCAUGAAUUAGUAUUUCGUGGCUCGGACAGAUUUAACACUUACCUACAUAUUUUGUUCCACUAGAUUUUAUUACGUGUGACUGUGGUUUUCAUCAUGGAAUCUGGUUUGUAAAGGUCAGACAUGAAGUCUAAAUUCCUCUCCGGGGGAAAAUAAACACUAACACCUAGACGCAGCAGCUCAGUUUCUGGCUCUGGUCGUAAGAAACUGUCCAGGUCGUUGGGGAGUAAAACAACAGCAGCGAACCAUGAAGGGACAUGAGACAGGAAGCCUGAUCCUGGGAGACAGUUGCCAUUUGGCUGCCACUACAAAGUGCUCAGAGCCAAAUGACUCCUGUAAAUCUUUUACUUGGACAGACAGUGUAUCAGUAAAUGUGUCCACUCAUCAAGGUGAAAUGUAAGCUUAAAUAGUUUCAGCAGCCGUGCUACCAGAAAGAGAGUACUUAGACAGGAUGGAUGAGUGUUUGGUUUAAUGUCUCGUGUUGCGGAGGAGAACAGGGGCGACAAGUAUUCUUGGGUGUGUUUCAAGAGGACACCUGUGGAGUAAAGUGCACAGCUCCUAAACAAGGCGCAGACUACAUGUGAGUCAGUGUUUCAGACUAUUCAUGUCAGACAGUCUGUAUGGUGUUAAGAUGAACAGGUUCUUUCAUUUGCAGUCAGUUGUGAUCUUUAACAAGAUGCAUGAAAGCAAAUAAUGGGUAAUAAUAUUUAAAAUCUAUCUGACUUUAUGUGGUCUCUGUUACCCGCUUUCAAAAUUUCCGUAGUCAAUUUCAAAAACUUCACCUUCGUCUUCAGAUAGAAAAAUCAAGUGUCCAUUAUUCAAAAACGACAUUAAAAUUUCUCAAAUUUUAAUUUGGAUCUAAAAAUUCAAGUCAAGUCAAAAUAUCUGGUUGCUCAAAAUGGCUAGUAUUGUUACUUCGGGAACAUUUUUAAUCCAUGAAAGGAGUAGUUUGACAUUUUGAAAGUAUGUCUAUAUGCUUUGUUGCUAAGAGUUAGACAAUACGAUUAAAACCAAUCUCAUGUUUGAAGCUGAGGCAGGAGGUGAUUAGCUUAGCUUAGCAUAAAGACUAGAAACAUAGGGAAACAACUAGCCUGGCUCUGUCCAAAGGUAACAAAAUCCACCUACCAGCACCUCCUAAACUCACUAAUUUUAAAUAUCUAGUUUGUUUAAUCUAUUCACAAACAGAAAUGUAGAAACAAUGUGUCUGUUUGUGUAUUGAUUAAACAAACAAGGUAUACCAAACAACAACAAAAAUGCUUUAGGCUUAGACUUUGGGCAGAGCUUUCAGUCUGUAUGCUAAGCUAAGCUAAUGCUGCACCCUCCUUGAUGCUCAGUCUCUCACUCGGCUGUUUCUACAGUAUGAGUCUCACCAUAUUUUAUAGCUGACUAUAAAGUUAUAAUGGACUGUCCUAUAUGAACAGGAACCAUAAAAUAUUGGUUUCAACAAUGAUGGAUUGUUAAUUAGACUCUGCUCUGUCCCUAUUGGAUGCCUGAAGGAGAAUUCGAUGACAGACAACAGCUGGAGACCACAGAAUGUGUUCGCAGAUGUUGUGGCUCAGGAAGAGAAACAUCAAGCUCAAAACUGGGAAAACUAUGUCCGGAAGGAAAACCAUUGUUCUAUCACUGCAUUCAUCGUAGACAUGGAUGGACGAGAAUAGAAACCCGAACCUCUUUAGACAUUUUAGGAGGGAAGUUGGGCUGUUGAAUUUCCCCAUCCAGACAGCAAUCUGACAGAAAACAGACAUAGGAUGUGAUGUUUUCUCUCAGUUUGGUCAUCCUCCUUGUUUUGUUGACCCAGCUUGAUGCCCUGUAAGAGGAAGCAGUGCUGUUAUCUGCAGGGAGGGAUGCACGAGGGAUGUCCUCAGUGUUGUGCUAACAUGGCAUUGGGAGACAAAGUAUCCAAAUGAGCUGUGGAGAAGAGGGAGUUUCUGCUUCUGGCAUCAGCUUUAGAACAUGACCAAGAGCAGACUAUGUUUAUCUUUUUUUUUUGUUUAUCUGAAAUUGCUACAUCAAGGGUUAUUAGAAACAAAAUGUUUGAUAGCAGUCAGACAUGAGGAAUGUAAACUGCACUUUCACGAAGAAUCAUUUAGCAGACCAGAUACAAAUACUUUGAGGAUGCAGAGUAUAAAGCGCGGUACCUGUAAAUGUGUAGAGCGGGAAACCUUAAUCAUGACUGACGUUUAAUUCUUACCAGCUUAAAACAAAACCACAAAAAUUGUGUUUCUGAGAAAACAAGUGGCCUUCAUUAGUUUGUACCGAGCUCUGGCUCUCAUCGUUUAGACCAAGCUGGUGACGUCUACCAGAUGGGGGGGGGGGGGGUCUUGGCUCAUUCCUCGAUCCCUCAGGGAGAUUUCAAAGCCACACGGUUUCUUGACUGCACUUUGUUGAACCCACCUCCCCUUUCUGGCAUAAAAACAUGUCAAAGCCACUCUGUGACCAAAAUGAAUUAUAAACAAUUACGGUUUCCAAGUGAACUAUUAAGUGUCUGACUUUGUAAAUGUGCCACAAGUUGUGAUCCUGAGCAUGAACAUAUACCCAAACUCUAGAGAACUCUCCUUAUCCAUAAUCUUCAUCUACACUGUAUGUAUAUAUAUCUGAGCCAUGCCUGCCCUGUCUUAACUGUUCCACAGGAGGGUAUUUUAACCUCCCACACUUCAUUUCCUCGCUCAUUUCCCUUUGCUGCUGCAGAACAUGGGGUCACUACCUUGCUAAUGCCUCAAUGUGUUGAUUAAUAAUGGUAGGAUGAUGUUAUUGUCAGUGUGCCCAGCCUUAUUUCCACCUGUCUUUCCUCUGCUCCACGAGCUCUCAAUCAACUCAUUUAUUUAAAUUAAGUAAGGAGGCUUCUUCUCAAGGUAAACUGACUCUUAAGAUGAAUCAUCUUGUUUUUAAUAGGCUCCAGACAAGUCAUUACAUUUUACCAGCUGCUGUCCAGACAUCCAGGUUAAGACUUUAAAACGUUUGACAGUUUUUUAGAAGUCUAGGUUUCAACCGCAUUACAAUGACUAUAUUUCAGUGUGAAACAGGGUGUAACUAUACAAUAUAGUCGCUAUAAACAAACUAUUAAUGUAACUUAACUUUGACACAUCAACAUCUUUUGACCUACAACUUGUGAUAAAACCAUGCUUGCUGAGUAUUGUCAUUUUGGAACCUGUUGUUUUCUCAUUCUUAUUUUUUGCUUGCUGACACGUGGCUUUCAGUUAAACUCCUGACGGGCCAAAACAUCUUCAGCAAAAACAACAAAAAGCAUCUCCUCCUUUGAGUCACAUUUAUCCUAAAUCUGUAUCAAAGCAUAUCUGUAAAGUGCUCUAUGUAAAGUGAUUGGGGUGAAAUGUUGAGGGGACUUUGGGAGAAGCCCUAGUAAUCAUCGUUAUGAAAUGUUCACAGCUGUCACAGAAUACAGUAUCCUACAUUGUCAAGAUCAUAAUAAUUAGUUUUGCUAAUAAAACAUCUUAAUGGCUUAUAAGGAAUAAAUGAGUAGAUUCCCCUUUUAACGCAGGCCAAAAAAAGAAGAAAAAGCCCUCGAGAGAGCCUUUGAAAUAGAGUACGGAGUUUCAUUUCAGCUCCCAACAAUUAAUAUUGUUUAGUUGUUCUGUCUCUCAAUGCCAAACUGCCACAGGGGGUUUGAACAAAAAUGAGGGGGAGGGAGAGGCAGACAUUAUAUUACUGAGUUAUGAUGAAACAGGAGAAGCGUUAUAUAUCAAACAGGACUGAUUUAUAAUUAAUCAACUCUGAGUUAAAGUGUUCAUUCAGCUCCUGCUUGCAGGAAAUGAUUUCUGGAUGUGGAAAAUUUUGAACAAUAUUUAACUUCUAACUGCAUCAUGAUGUCUUUCGUUAAACCAUUUCCAGUUCCACUAUCGCAAUAUAAUUUUUUAUUGAUUUAAUUUCCUGUACAACCCUGUGCCUUUAGUGUGUUUUUAGUUGCAGUAUCUAGGAUCUUUUUUACCCGUUGUACAAAGCGUCUUUGGGCGCUCUAUAGCACUUUAAAAUGUUAGUUCUUUUACUACCAUUUUUUGUCUCUCCUGUUGGUCUUAAGUUCCAAGCUGUAUAACCAAACACUGUCUGCCUCCCUUUUCUCUACUUUCUCUCUCUGUCUUACUAAUCUCACUUGUCUUUCUCCUCCUUUCUGCGCUUCU